GUCGUUGUAGUAUAGUGGUGAGUAUUCCCGCCUAUCACGCGGGUGACCCGGGUUCUUUCCAUGGCAACGGUG
rnacentral:tRNA from 1 species